AGAGUUUGAUCCUGGCUCAGAAUCAACGCUGGCGGCGCGCUUAACACAUGCAAGUCGCACGAGAAAGUGGAGCAAUCCAUGAGUACAGUGGCGUACGGGUGAGUAACACGUGGAUCAUCUACCUCUUGAUGGGGAAUAACCCUGGGAAACCGGGGCUAAUACCGCAUAAGCCUGAAAAGGGAAAGCAGCAAUGCGUCGAGAGAGGAGUCCGCGGCCGAUUAGCUAGUUGGUAGGGUAAAGGCCUACCAAGGCAAUGAUCGGUAGCCGGCCUGAGAGGGCACACGGCCACACUGGCACUGAAACACGGGCCAGACUCCUACGGGAGGCAGCAGUGGGGAAUCUUGCACAAUGGAGGAAACUCUGAUGCAGCGACGCCGCGUGAGUGAUGAAGCCCUUCGGGGUGUAAAGCUCUUUCGGCAGGAACGAUAAUGACGGUACCUGCAGAAGAAGCUGCGGCUAACUACGUGCCAGCAGCCGCGGUAAUACGUAGGCAGCAAGCGUUGUUCGGAAUUACUGGGCGUAAAGAGUGUGUAGGCGGUUCUCUAAGUUCCGUGUGAAAUCUCCCGGCUCAACUGGGAGGGUGCGCGGGAAACUGGAGGGCUCGAGUAUGGGAGAGGAAAGCGGAAUUCCUGGUGUAGCGGUGAAAUGCGUAGAUAUCAGGAGGAACACCUGCGGUGUAGACAGCUUUCUGGACCAUCACUGACGCUGAGACACGAAAGCGUGGGUAGCAAACAGGAUUAGAUACCCUAGUAGUCC
rnacentral:rRNA from 1 species